rnacentral:rRNA from 1 species
CACGGAAUUAGCCGGUCCUUAUUCGUAUGGUACCUGCAAACAAUCACACGUGAUUGACUUUAUCCCCAUACAAAAGCAGUUUACAACCCAUAGGGCCGUCAUCCUGCACGCUACUUGGCUGGUUCAGGCUCUCGCCCAUUGACCAAUAUUCCUCACUGCUGCCUCCCGUAGGAGUUUGGACCGUGUCUCAGUUCCAAUGUGGGGGACCUUCCUCUCAGAACCCCUACUGAUCGUUGCCUUGGUGGGCUGUUACCCCGCCAACAAGCUAAUCAGACGCAUCCCCAUCCAUAACCGAUAAAUCUUUCAUUCUCUUCUGAUGUCAUCUAAGAAUUACAUAAGGUAUUAGUCUGCCUUUGGCUAGGUUAUCCCUUAGUUAUGGGAAAGUUGGAUACGCGUUACUCGACCCGUGCGCCGGUCGACGUCCUAUUCAGUGCAAGCACUCAAUCGCCCGUUUCCCUCGACUUGCCUAUUGUCGUUAAGCCUUGUACGCUAGGCCGUUUCACUCCGUGACG